CGUGAUCACAGCUGAAUGAUAGAACUUCUAUGGCAGCCACGGAGGAGUGCAAAGGGCAGAUCCUGGAGAUCACAGAGAGAAUCAGGAAAACCCUCUGAGAAACCUUCAGCAAAUGGGUCUAAAUGCAGAGGUGGAAAGACCAGGGAUCUGGUUGUUUUCUACAGAGGGACACUGGUUUUCCCCAACCAGCAGGGAACAGAUCCCCUUGUGAUUUCCCUGAAAGUGUGGGAACAAAAGGGAAUACCUUUCACAACUGUUUUAGGCAGUUCUUCAGAUAAGGGAAACAACACAAAACAAGACUUGUUCCCACAGAUGGGAAACUCCAGAACAUCAGUUGUGUGUGCCACCAAUGUAACCCUUUAGGGUGCCAGUUAGGAGAUACUGAGAAUUAUCUAUUCCCUUGCAAACAGACCUCCCCUCCAGUCUGCAAACAUAAGGUUUUCUCCCAUGGCCCACGUGCUCCCUACUGACCUAGGAUGAGUGUCUGGAUUGCUCCUUUUAUGUUCACUCGUUUUUGUUUGAAUCUGCUCCUGAAGUUCAGAAAGGGGAAAACUUGCUUAGAUAUGGUUGACUCACAUUCAUUUUACUUAGCUCUACUUGGUUGUUAAAAGUGAGGCUUUUUACACCGUAACAGCAAUAUUGUGUGAUGUUUUCAUUGCGAAUGACUCAGCUACUUUCAACAAUACAAUGAUCCGAGACAACUCUGAAGAACUUGGGAUGAAAAAUGCUACCCACCUCCAGAGAAAGAAGUGAUGGAUUCUGAAUAUAGAUUGAAGCAUACUUUGUUUUACUUUCUUUGUUUUUCUUGGGGGUUUUUUUGUCUAUGUUUCUUUUCACAAUAUGACUAAUAAGGAAACGUGUUUUGCAUGACUACACAUGUAUAAUCUAUUUCAAAUUGCUUUCGAUGGAGGGAAGGAGAGAAUUUAGAACUCAAAUUUUUUUUUAAAAAGUGAAAAUUAUUUUACUAAAUAAAAUCAUAAAUAAUUUUUAAGGAACAGUGGGAAUAAGGAUGUAAGAGGAAACACUCAUUAGGAAUAACAAAGUUUAAAAGGAUCCAUUUAGACAGUUUUUUUCAAAAAUGUGUCUUGGAUGCACUGGCAAAGCAAUAUUGACUCUUAAUUGGUCAUCAUCUGAUAGCAAGCACUUCUUAUAAUCUAUGCUUUAAGGAGAAAAGGUAACUGCCUUGAUCCCCAGGAAUAGUGUUCCAAGAUCUUAUCAAUUCCAGGUUGUCAGGAAUCUUAAAGGUUCUUUAGGUGCCGCAAUCACAAUAUCAAAUACUAGUCUACCCAGCCUCUACUUGAAGACCAUAGGGAACUCAUAAUACCCUGAGCUGCUUAUUCUAUUUUUGGGAAAGCACCAAUCAUCAGAAAAUUCUCCUUGUGAAAAUAAUACAUAUGGGGAUAAUGUUGUAAAAAAUUACUCUGGCAUGGGAUCUGUCAAUAAAAAGUUAUAAAAAAAAACAAAAAGAAAAGAAUAUUUAUGAUAUAUAUUGUAUUUAACAUAUACUUUAAAAUGUUUAACAUGUAUGGGACUGCCUGCCAUCUAGGGAGUGGGGGGAAGGAGGGGAAAAGUUGGAACAGAAGUUUUUGCAAGGGUCAAUGUUGAAAAAUUACCCAUGCAUAUGUUUUGUCCAUAAGAAACUAUAAUAAAAAAGAAAGGUGAAAGAAUAAAAAAUAAUAAUGCAUAGUAAACUACCACUCACACAACAGUUUAAAGUUUCCAUAAAAAUUAUCUCUUUUCAUCCUUAUUUCAACCCUGGGAGGCAGCUGCUGCUGUUAUACUCAUGCAGAAGAACAAACUGAAGCAUACAGAGAAUAAGUGAUUUGCCCAGGAGGACACAGAAAAAUGAUGAACUCUAAGGAUGGAAAAAGACACAGUUUGGGGCUUGGCCAUGCAGGGAUCCAUUUUGCUUAACCACACUUAUUACUGGUGUUUAACUUGAAGUAAUGUGUAUUGUUGGGGGGGGGGGGAUGUUUAGAAAUAAUAAUUCCCACAAAGAGGAUCAUUGCAACAUUUGAAGAAGGAAGUUCAAAAGAAAAAGGAGAAAAGAUAGCUUUGAACCUAAGUGUGGAAUUGUGAAAGUGAUGGGCAGAAUUAUCAUAGGCUAUUUUUAAGACACUGAAAUGGAAAUUCAUGGUUUCAUGCACAAUCAUAUUUUGUGGUUUGAUAUGUGUAUGGGAAUGGUCUUUUUUAUCGUCUAAGGUAAAGCUUGGUGGUUGAAUUUUUUUAAUGCUUUUGUUAAAUAUUUUUACUUAAAAAAUAAAAAUUUCUAAAAGAUUUUUGGCAAGUGAGUAAUGGAUAAAUUGGAGAGGGGAGAGAGUGUGUCAAAGAGACCAUUUAGGAGGCUGGGGGAAUAGUCCGGGUGAAAGGAAAGUGCCAGUGUGAUGGCUGUGAGAAUAAAGGGAUUUUGUGAAGAUAGGAAAGGACUUGGCAACUGCUUGGCGACUGCGAGGGAAUGAGAGGGCAGACAAGAAGAUAACACUGAAUUUUUGAGCAGGGGUGACUGAGGCUGGUGCUGCUGUUGACCUUUUGGGGAAGGUCAGAAGAGAGGAGGGUCUGAUGGGAAAUACAGUGAGUUCUGUUUUGGAAAACCCAGAAGGGAGAAAACAUCAAGGAGAAGGAGACCGAGAGUGGCAAAUGUUCCAGAGAAGUCAGGGAGGAUGACAAUGGAGGAGAGGACAAGUGAAACGCCACUGGCCACUUUGGAAGAAGAGUAGUUUUCUUUGAAUGGGAAGGUCAGAGGCAGAUUAUGGAGGGUUUAGAACAGACUGAGCAGUAAGGGAGCCAGUAAGUGUGGAUGGCUUUGUCCAAGAACUGAAGGAACGGAGAAGGAAGGAGAAACGCAGGAUAUCUGGCAGGUGGUGGACUUGGCCAGGAUCCCACGGCUAGUGAGUCCGAGUCUGGUUUGCUCCUCUCUAGUUCCAGAGCUGUAACCAGCAAGUCUCUUCUAGAUCAGAGAUCACUAGGUCAUCCAGUCUGGCAAAACAGAGCAUGAUGUGAGUUCAAAUCCCCACCUUCCUGUCUCUGCGGCCCCAGACGGGCCAUGUUCCCUCUCUGGGCCUCCGUUCCCCUCCUAUGAAACCAAAGGACUGGACAAGACGACCCCAUCCUCCUCCUAGCUUUCAGUCUGUGACCCUGUGAGAUGAGGCUGAGAAGGAAGGUCGGAGCCAGGCUGCAGCGGUCCCAAAGGCCAGGGAAACAUUCGGAUCCUUUUGGAUCGUGACUAGGAGACCAGGAAGAUUCUCGAGCAGAGGAGUGGCCAGAUGGGGCCUGGGUGUUGGAUGAGGUCAGCAGAUGAGCACAGGCUCUGGGGGCAGAGAUCCCGGGUCCAGAUUCUGCUUCUAGAACUUACUGCGCCUGUGGCCUUGGCCCAGAACUAUCACUUUGUGGGCCUCAGUUUCCUCCUCCGUCAAAUAAGACCGAGGGACUAGCUGACCUCUACGGCCCCACGGGGGACACCCUCGUCCUUGUGCGCCUGCUCUCUCCCCGCGCCCCCUUCCUGACACACGGCGGGACCUAGGGGGCUUCCAAGGCUAUUCCCCGGCUGGGGACCGUGGGACACAGAUGCUCCUUCCCAGGGGCGUCCCUUGGGCCCAGCUGGGUGCCUCUUCCCUCUGGGAGACACCUGCGCACUAGGUCUCACUGCCUGGGAGAGGCUAGGGCGGGACCCUGCAUGUGAAGGCUCUUCCCGCGCGGAACAAGCCUGGUCCUUCUGGGCCGGAGGGUCUGUCUCAGCCGCGGGGACAGCGGCGAGUUCAGAACCAAGGAGAGAGUCCGAGGUUCUGCCAGUGAAGAGGAAGGAGGGAGACCCAACGUGGGCCGGGCCCGGGGGAUGGGAAACGAGGAAGAGACCUGCCCGAGAGCGGGACCUGGCGAACAACGGAGCAUCCUCCUACUCCUGGGUCCGACAUAAGCUUUCAUCCGAGGGGGCCCCACGUGGCCCGGAGGGGGCGGUAGUUUUACCCCAGCCUUAAGUGAGCCAGUUAGUGUGAGGGAGGCAUCACCCUCCUCCUUCCCU
rnacentral:lncRNA from 1 species